AGGACGAACGCUGGCGGCGUGCUUAACACAUGCAAGUCGAGCGAGGCUCCUCCUUCGGGAGGAUGCCCUAGCGGCGAACGGGUGAGUAACACGUGGGCAACCUGCCCCUAGCACUGGGAUAACCCCGGGAAACCGGGGCUAAUACCGGAUACGACUUCGGAAGGCAUCUUCUGAAGUGGAAAAGGUUACUGGCUAGGGAUGGGCCCGCGGCCUAUCAGCUUGUUGGUGGGGUAAUGGCCCACCAAGGCGACGACGGGUAGCCGGCCUGAGAGGGCGACCGGCCACACUGGGACUGAGACACGGCCCAGACUCCUACGGGAGGCAGCAGUGGGGAAUAUUGCACAAUGGGCGAAAGCCUGAUGCAGCGACGCCGCGUGAGGGAUGACGGCCUUCGGGUUGUAACCUCUUUCAGCCCUGACGAAGCGAAGUGACGGUAGGGCAGAGAAGCACCGGCCAACUACGCGCCAGCAGCCGC
rnacentral:rRNA from 1 species